rnacentral:rRNA from 1 species
UACGUAGGGAGCAAGCGUUGUCCGGAUUUAUUGGGCGUAAAGAGCUCGUAGGCGGCUUAGAAAGUCAGGUGUUAAACCUCCAGGCUCAACCUGGAGCCGCCACUUGAUACUUCUAUGGCUUGAGUUCGGUAGGGGUAAGCGGAAUUCCUGGUGUAGCGGUGAAAUGCGCAGAUAUCAGGAGGAACACCGAUGGCGAAGGCAGCUUACUGGGCCGAUACUGACGCUGAGGAGCGAAAGCGUGGGGAGCGAACAGG